AGUGGCCAUGUGAUCGCGUG
rnacentral:miRNA from 1 species